ACGCAUGAACACACACCUGGAGAGGGGGUGGAACACCAGACAGGAGACGUGUGAGAGCAGACGGAACACCAGACAGAGGACGUGUGAGCGGAGACGGAAGACCAGACAGGAGACGUGUGAGAGCAGACGGAAGACCAGACAGAGGACGCUCAGGAGGAGGCCAGUGGUACUGUGCGAGCGCGAGUCCUCGUACCUCAUCAAGGUGAAGCGGAUCUCAAAGGCAGGGGAGUAGUCCUCGAAGUUGAUGAUGACGGAGAAGAGCAGCGGGGUGAUGAAGUUGGCCAGGGUGAUGACGAUAGAAGGCAGGUACUCGUAGAUGAGGUCCCGCAUGAAGUUCACCUGCAGGACAGAACAAGCCAAUCAGAACAGCCGUCAUUAGACCCUCCCCCUUCAACAAUACUUUCGUAAAUGCUUUGGAUGUUGAAUAUUAUAUUCUUCAAGGUAAUCAAGUAAAUUAUUCCUCAUAAAAUGUGUUUCUCUUCUUUCUUCUGACAAGUACUUAUUGGAGGUCGCAUUGGAUAGAAGUGUGCGCUAAAUACUGUAAAUGUUAAAGUGUGUACGCGCAAAUCUGUACCAUCUUUUUGUUAAAUUUUUUCAUAUUAGAAUCUUUAAAAUAAUGCAUUAGUAUAAAUACACGAUAUCAGAGGAAAGCCGAUACACCUGCUUCUAUAGCCAACUGUUCUAUGACCUACAUGUCUCUGGCGUUGCUUCUGGGUACCUUGUCCAUCUGGGCCUUCUGGGAGAAGAUGGUGGCCCGGUAGAUGCUGUAGAAGCAGGCCGCCAGGACGGCGAUGACGAACACGUUGAGGAUCAGCCGGAUGGUGUAGAUACGACACCUCUCCUUGCGGCUGCGGUCGGCGAUCUUCUGCUUGAUUCUCUCCUCCUCCAGAUCCGUCUGGAAGACAAAGAAUUAAAUAAAUAGUACAU